GAAUAAUUAUUAAUAAUAAUAAACUAAGUGAACUGAAACAUCUAAGUAACUUAAGGAUAAGAAAUCAACAGAGAUAUUAUGAGUAUUGGUGAGAGAAAAUAAUAAAGGUCUAAUAAGUAUUAUGUGAAAAAAAUGUAAGAAAAUAGGAUAACAAAUUCUAAGACUAAAUACUAUUAAUAAGUAUAGUAAGUACCGUAAGGGAAAGUAUGAAAAUGAUUAUUUUAUAAGCAAUCAUGAAUAUAUUAUAUUAUAUUAAUGAUGUACCUUUUGUAUAAUGGGUCAGCAAGUAAUUAAUAUUAGUAAAACAAUAAGUUAUAAAUAAAUAGAAUAAUAUAUAUAUAUAAAAAAAUAUAUUAAAAUAUUUAAUUAAUAUUAAUUGACCCGAAAGCAAACGAUCUAACUAUGAUAAGAUGGAUAAACGAUCGAACAGGUUGAUGUUGCAAUAUCAUCUGAUUAAUUGUGGUUAGUAGUGAAAGACAAAUCUGGUUUGCAGAUAGCUGGUUUUCUAUGAAAUAUAUGUAAGUAUAGCCUUUAUAAAUAAUAAUUAUUAUAUAAUAUUAUAUUAAUAUUAUAUAAAGAAUGGUACAGCAAUUAAUAUAUAUUAGGGAACUAUUAAAGUUUUAUUAAUAAUAUUAAAUCUCGAAAUAUUUAAUUAUAUAUAAUAAAGAGUCAGAUUAUGUGCGAUAAGGUAAAUAAUCUAAAGGGAAACAGCCCAGAUUAAGAUAUAAAGUUCCUAAUAAAUAAUAAGUGAAAUAAAUAUUAAAAUAUUAUAAUAUAAUCAGUUAAUGGGUUUGACAAUAACCAUUUUUUAAUGAACAUGUAACAAUGCACUGAUUUAUAAUAAAUAAAAAAAAAUAAUAUUUAAAAUCAAAUAUAUAUAUAUUUGUUAAUAGAUAAUAUACGGAUCUUAAUAAUAAGAAUUAUUUAAUUCCUAAUAUGGAAUAUUAUAUUUUUAUAAUAAAAAUAUAAAUACUGAAUAUCUAAAUAUUAUUAUUACUUUUUUUUUAAUAAUAAUAAUAUGGUAAUAGAACAUUUAAUGAUAAUAUAUAUUAGUUAUUAAUUAAUAUAUGUAUUAAUUAAAUAGAGAAUGCUGACAUGAGUAACGAAAAAAAGGUAUAAACCUUUUCACCUAAAACAUAAGGUUUAACUAUAAAAGUACGGCCCCUAAUUAAAUUAAUAAGAAUAUAAAUAUAUUUAAGAUGGGAUAAUCUAUAUUAAUAAAAAUUUAUCUUAAAAUAUAUAUAUUAUUAAUAAUUAUAUUAAUUAAUUAAUAAUAUAUAUAAUUAUAUUAUAUAUUAUAUAUUUUUUAUAUAAUAUAAACUAAUAAAGAUCAGGAAAUAAUUAAUGUAUACCGUAAUGUAGACCGACUCAGGUAUGUAAGUAGAGAAUAUGAAGGUGAAUUAGAUAAUUAAAGGGAAGGAACUCGGCAAAGAUAGCUCAUAAGUUAGUCAAUAAAGAGUAAUAAGAACAAAGUUGUACAACUGUUUACUAAAAACACCGCACUUUGCAGAAACGAUAAGUUUAAGUAUAAGGUGUGAACUCUGCUCCAUGCUUAAUAUAUAAAUAAAAUUAUUUAACGAUAAUUUAAUUAAAUUUAGGUAAAUAGCAGCCUUAUUAUGAGGGUUAUAAUGUAGCGAAAUUCCUUGGCCUAUAAUUGAGGUCCCGCAUGAAUGACGUAAUGAUACAACAACUGUCUCCCCUUUAAGCUAAGUGAAAUUG
rfam:Saccharomyces cerevisiae S288c mitochondrion, complete genome.